rnacentral:rRNA from 1 species
GAUUAAGUUAUUAAGGGCGCACGGUGGAUGCCUUGGCACUAGAAGCCGAAGAAGGACGUUACUAACGACGAUAUGCUUUGGGGAGCUGUAAGUACGCUUUGAUCCAGAGAUUUCCGAAUGGGGAAACCCAGCAUGAGUUAUGUCAUGUUAUCCGCAUAUGAAUACAUAGUAUGUGAGAAGGCACACCCGGAGAACUGAAACAUCUUAGUACCCGGAGGAAGAGAAAGAAAACUCGAUUCCCUGAGUAGCGGCGAGCGAAACGGGAAGAGCCCAAACCAAUAGGCUUGCCUAUUGGGGUUGUAGGACACUCAAUACGGAGUUACAAAGGCACUGAGAAUCAUCUGGAAAGAUGAAUCAAAGAAGGUAAAGGUCCUGUAGUCGAAAAUCAUUUCUCUCCUGAGUGGAUCCUGAGUACGGCGGAACACGUGAAAUUCCGUCGGAAUCUGGGAGGACCAUCUCCCAAGGCUAAAUACUCUCUAGUGACCGAUAGUGAACCAGUACCGUGAGGGAAAGGUGAAAAGCACCCCGGAAGGGGAGUGAAAUAGAACCUGAAACCGUGUGCUUACAAAUAGUCAGAGCCCGUUAAUGGGUGAUGGCGUGCCUUUUGUAGAAUGAACCGGCGAGUUACGAUUUGAUGCAAGGUUAAGCAGUAAAUGUGGAGCCGUAGCGAAAGCGAGUCUGAAUAGGGCGAAUAGUAUCUGGUCGUAGACCCGAAACCAAGUGAUCUACCCAUGUCCAGGUUGAAGUUCAGGUAACACUGAAUGGAGGACCGAACCGACUUACGUUGAAAAGUGAGCGGAUGAGGUGUGGGUAGCGGAGAAAUUCCAAUCGAACUUGGAGAUAGCUGGUUCUCUCCGAAAUAGCUUUAGGGCUAGCCUCAAGUGAUGAUUAUUGGAGGUAGAGCACUGUUUGGACGAGGGGCCCCUCUCGGGUUACCGAAUUCAGACAAACUCCGAAUGCCAAAUAAUUUAACUUGGGAGUCAGACUAUGGGUGAUAAGGUCCGUAGUCGAAAGGGAAACAGCCCAGACCACCAGCUAAGGUCCCAAAAUAUAUGUUAAGUGGAAAAGGAUGUGGCGUUGCCCAGACAACUAGGAUGUUGGCUUAGAAGCAGCCAUCAUUUAAAGAGUGCGUAAUAGCUCACUAGUCGAGUGACACUGCGCCGAAAAUGUACCGGGGCUAAACAUAUUACCGAAGCUGUGGAUUGUCCUUUGGACAAUGGUAGGAGAGCGUUCUAAGGGCGUUGAAGCAUGAUCGCAAGGACAUGUGGAGCGCUUAGAAGUGAGAAUGCCGGUGUGAGUAGCGAAAGACGGGUGAGAAUCCCGUCCACCGAUUGACUAAGGUUUCCAGAGGAAGGCUCGUCCGCUCUGGGUUAGUCGGGACCUAAGCCGAGGCCGACAGGCGUAGGCGAUGGAUAACAGGUUGAUAUUCCUGUACCACCUCUUAUCGUUUGAGCAAUGGAGGGACGCAGAAGGAUAGAAGAAGCGUGCGAUUGGUUUGCACGUCCAAGCAGUUAGGCUGAUAAGUAGGCAAAUCCGGUACUCGUUAAGGCUGAGCUGUGAUGGGGAGAAGACAUUGUGUCUUCGAGUCGUUGAUUUCACACUGCCGAGAAAAGCCUCUAGAUAGAAAAUAGGUGCCCGUACCGCAAACCGACACAGGUAGUCAAGAUGAGAAUUCUAAGGUGAGCGAGCGAACUCUCGUUAAGGAACUCGGCAAAAUGACCCCGUAACUUCGGGAGAAGGGGUGCUUUUUAGGGUGCAAGCCUUGAAGAGCCGCAGUGAAUAGGCCCAAGCGACUGUUUAUCAAAAACACAGGUCUCUGCUAAACCGUAAGGUGAUGUAUAGGGGCUGACGCCUGCCCGGUGCUGGAAGGUUAAGAGGAGUGGUUAGCUUCUGCGAAGCUACGAAUCGAAGCCCCAGUAAACGGCGGCCGUAACUAUAACGGUCCUAAGGUAGCGAAAUUCCUUGUCGGGUAAGUUCCGACCCGCACGAAAGGCGUAACGAUUUGGGCACUGUCUCAACGAGAGACUCGGUGAAAUCAUAGUACCUGUGAAGAUGCAGGUUACCCGCGACAGGACGGAAAGACCCCGUGGAGCUUUACUGUAGCCUGAUAUUGAAAUUUGGCACAGCUUGUACAGGAUAGGUAGGAGCCUUUGAAACGUGAGCGCUAGCUUACGUGGAGGCGCUGGUGGGAUACUACCCUGGCUGUGUUGACUUUCUAACCCGCACCAUUUAUCAUGGUGGGAGACAGUGUCAGGCGGGCAGUUUGACUGGGGCGGUCGCCUCCUAAAGAGUAACGGAGGCGCUCAAAGGUUCCCUCAGAAUGGUUGGAAAUCAUUCGCAGAGUGUAAAGGCACAAGGGAGCUUGACUGCGAGACCUACAAGUCGAGCAGGGUCGAAAGACGGACUUAGUGAUCCGGUGGUUCCGCAUGGAAGGGCCAUCGCUCAACGGAUAAAAGCUACCCCGGGGAUAACAGGCUUAUCUCCCCCAAGAGUCCACAUCGACGGGGAGGUUUGGCACCUCGAUGUCGGCUCAUCGCAUCCUGGGGCUGUAGUCGGUCCCAAGGGUUGGGCUGUUCGCCCAUUAAAGCGGUACGCGAGCUGGGUUCAGAACGUCGUGAGACAGUUCGGUCCCUAUCCGUCGUGGGCGUAGGAAAUUUGAGAGGAGCUGUCCUUAGUACGAGAGGACCGGGAUGGACGCACCGCUGGUGUACCAGUUGUUCUGCCAAGGGCAUAGCUGGGUAGCUAUGUGCGGAAGGGAUAAGUGCUGAAAGCAUCUAAGCAUGAAGCCCCCCUCAAGAUGAGAUUUCCCAUCGUAAGCUAUAAGAUCCCUGAAAGAUGAUCAGGUUGAUAGGUUCGAGGUGGAAGCAUGGUGACAUGUGGAGCUGACGAAUACUAAUAGAUCGAGGACUUAAUCAA